CUAAUUAUGAAAAAUCCUAUGUUAAAACUAGUAACAAGAAAAUGAAUUUCUCCAAAGUGUAAACAUAAACCAAAAUGGACAGCCCAUUGGUGAUUAACGACCUUGAACUCACUAUAACAAAACAUCUAGAAAACUUUAUAUUUUAGCGUCGUUAACCUUACACAAGAACUCUUCUGGAAAGAUUAAAAGGAAGAGAAGGAACUCGGCAAAUUUUAACCCCGCCUGUUUACCAAAAACAUCGCCUUUUGCAUAAAUAUAAAAGGUCCCGCCUGCCCACUGUUUUUAAAAAUCAACGGCCGCGUGAUUUAAACGCGCUAAGGUAGCAUAAUAAUUUGUUCUUUAAAUGAGGACUUGUAUCAAUGGCAUCACGAGGGUUAUACUGUCUCCUCUCCCCAAUCAGUGAAACUAAUCUCCCUGUGAAAAAGCAGGAAUAAGCCUAUAAGACGAGAAGACCCCAUGGAGCUUAAAACAUAGUAACAACCAUGAUAACAUAUCAACAUAAUUUUUAGCCAUGUAUACUAGUUUUAGGUUGGGGUGACCACGGAGUAAAAUAAAGCCUCCACGACGAAAAGAGUAUGCACUUUUAUCUAAGAGAUACUUCUCUAAGAAUUAUUAAAAUAACGUUUAAUGAUCCGACUAUCGACCAACGGACCAAGUUACCCUGGGGGAUAACAGCGCAAUCCACUCUGAAAGCUCCUAUC
rnacentral:rRNA from 1 species